AUAUUCCAAUAGCGGAGGAAAAGAAACCAACAGGGAUUGCCUUAGUAGCGGCGAGUGAACCGGCAAGAGCUCAGAUUUGAAAGCCCCUCGGGGCAUUGUAUUCUGAAGCCUUGAUCCUGGGAACCGGUGCUUAAGUCUUCUGGAAAGGAGCGCCAUGGAGGGUGAUAGCCCCGUGAAGCACUGACCCCAUUGUAGGAUCUUGGCGUGGAGUCGAGUUGUUUGGGAAUGCAGCUCAAAUGGGUGGUAUGCUCCAUCUAAAGCUAAAUAUCUGCGAGAGACCGAUAGCGAACAAGUACUGUGAAGGAAAGAUGAAAAGAACUUUGAAAAGAGAGUGAAAAAGUACGUGAAAUUGUUGAAAUGGAAGGGUAGGCCGCUAACCACGUAGAGCCGUGUCUAGGGGGAGGAUAAAAGCUGUAGAAUGUGGCUCUUCGGAGUGUUAUAGCUACAGUUCAUACUCCCACCCGGGCGCGAGGAUCUAAGGCUCUACUAAAUGGUGGUCUACCACCCGUCUUGAAACACGGACCAACAA
rnacentral:rRNA from 1 species